GCCAUUGCAAACACGAAGCUCUUCCAGAAACGCCCUCACAGACACCCCGGAAGUCACGUACCCACUCUGUAGGUGCCCCGGGGCACAGGCAAGCGGACGAGCCAGUUAUCCCUCAGAGCUCCUGCUGCCUCGCCCGCUUUCUCUCGGAAACGUGAAGUGUGGCCUCAGCUGAAAGUGAGGUGGGCCUCAUUCAAUCAGUUGAAUUCUUCAAGAGAGAAAAACUGAAGUCCCUUAGAAGGAAAGAGUUCUGCCUUCAGACUGUCUUUGAACUUAAGACUGUAGCGUCGACUCCUGCCGGAAUUUCCAGCCUGCUGGCCAGCUCUGCAGAUUCACACUUGCCAGCCUCCACAAUCCAGGAAGGCAGCCAUCUGUGAGCCAGAAAGUGAGCCCUCACCUGAUGGCCAAGCCUGCUGAUGCUUUGGUUUUGGACUUUCCAGCCUCCAGAAUGGCAGCUGAGGCGGAGGAACCCUAAGGGCUCAUUGAGAUCAUGGAUUUGCCCUUCUAUGCAUUGAUGGAGCACCUGCUGCCCACAGCGUCUGUAUUUGGUGCUGGGAUGCUGAGGACACUGAGAUCUUCAAACAGAGGCUGCCACUCUAAGCAAACAGAUCCCGAGCCCUGGACUCUGAAGCUUGGGCCCAGUUCUCCUUUUCUCCGGGUUUCAGAUCCCACUGUGAAGUGAGGGGGCCCUUCUGAUUCAGGACCCGGGGAAGCCAGGGGCAUGAGCAUCGGUGCCUCUUCUCUAUUUCAAGGACCCUUCUGGGUGUAAAGUUCUCUGAGAUGCCUUACAUGGAUUCCCACCACUGCAAGAUAACCAUCGUAUGUAAAGUGUUAUGACCAGCAGAGCGUAAUUGAAGUGCAUUCCAGAGGGAAAGACAGCGGCUCAGUCUCACUCUGUUGCCCAGGUUGGAAUUCAGUGGCAUGAUCUCGACUCACGGCAAUCUCGCAAUCUCUGCCUCCCAGGUUCAAGUGAUUCUCCUGCCUCAGCCUACCAAGUAGCUGGGAUUACAGAGCAUAACGUUCUCAAGGCUCAGCCACACUGUAGCCUGUGUCAGAACUUCAUUCCUGGCUGGGUGCCGUGGCUCACACCUGUAAUCCCAGCACUUUGGGAGGCUGAGGCGGGCAGAUCACUUGCAGUCAGAUGUUCAAGACCAGCCUGGCCAACAUGGUGAAAACCCAUCUCUACUAAACAUACAAAAAUUAGCCGGGCGUGGUGACACACAUCUUUAGUCCCAGCUACUCAGUAGGUUGAGGCAGGAGAAUUGCUUGAACCUGGGAGGUGGAGGUUGCAGUGAGCCAGGAUCACACCACUUCACUCCAGCCUGGGAGACAGAGCAAGACUCUGUCACAACAAACGAACAAACAAACAAACAAAACUUCAUUCCUUUUUAUGGAGGAACACUACCAUAUUUCAUUGUAUAAAUAUACCACAUUUUGUGAUACACCA
ensembl:lncRNA EPIC1 epigenetically induced MYC interacting lncRNA 1